ACACGAGUGGCGGACGGGUGCGUAACGCGUACGAAACAUACCUUCAACAGGGGGAUACCUCCGGGAAACUGGAAAUAAUACCCCAUAGUAUUAUUGAAUCGCAUGAUUUGAUAAUUAAAGCUUUGGCGGUUGAAGAUUGUCGUGCGUCUGAUUAGCUUGUUGGUGAGGUAAAAGCUCACCAAGGCGACGAUCUUUAGCUGGUCUGAGAGGAUGAUCAGCCACACUGGGACUGAGACACGGCCCAGACUCC
rnacentral:rRNA from 1 species